rnacentral:rRNA from 1 species
AGAGUUUGAUCAUGGCUCAGGACGAACGCUGACGGUGUGCUUUAGGCAUGCAAGUCGAACGAGAAAGCCCUUCGGGGUUAGUAAAGUGGCGAACGGGUGAGUAACACGUGGGCAACCUGCCCCUCGCAGGGGGACAACCGGAGGAAACUCCGGCUAAUACCCCGUACGCUUGUUGGAUCGCAUGGUCCGGCAAGGAAAGGUAGCUUCGGCCAUCCGGCGAGGGAUGGGCCCGCGUUGCAUUAGCUAGUUGGUGGGGUAACGGCCUACCAAGGCUACGAUGCGUAGCUGGUCUGAGAGGAUGAUCAGCCACACUGGGACUGAGACACGGCCCAGACUCCUACGGGAGGCAGCAGCCAGGAAUCUUGGGCAAUGGGCGAAAGCCUGACCCAGCAACACCGUGUGGGUGACGAAGGCCUUAGGGUCGUAAAGCCCUGUUGAUAGGGACGAAGGGCGAAGGGUUAAUAGCCCCUAGCUUGACGGUACCUUUCGAGGAAGCCCCGGCUAACUACGUGCCAGCAGCCGCGGUAAUACGUAGGGGGCGAGCGUUGUCCGGAAUUAUUGGGCGUAAAGAGCGUGUAGGCGGUUCGGUAAGUCUGCUGUGAAAUCCUGGGGCUCAACCCUGGGCGUGCAGCGGAUACUGCCGGGCUAGAGGGUGGUAGAGGCGAGUGGAAUUCCGAGUGUAGCGGUGAAAUGCGCAGAUAUUCGGAGGAACACCAGUAGCGAAGGCGGCUCGCUGGGCCACACCUGACGCUGAGACGCGAAAGCGUGGGGAGCGAACAGGAUUAGAUACCCUGGUAGUCCACGCCGUAAACGAUGGAUACUGGGUGUGGGCGGAGUCGAAUCUGUCUGUGCCGAAGUUAACGCGUUAAGUAUCCCGCCUGGGGAGUAC